UUUAGUGGAAAUCUUCGGCGAUGAACCGUGCGUCUUCUUCGUUACAUUCCUUGGGCAGGUUGCGUGAAUGACCACAUGCAAAUGGCAGCAUGCCACAGGAAAUUGUGAGGGGCAUCUACAGCAGACAGAGCAUCAUCUCAUUGGCACACCAUCCUGAUGUCAACAAGAAGCCAUUUAAGCCCUUCCAUUGACAAGGGCAAAAUGCAACCAAAAUGCACUUCGAAAGAGCAUGAAGUGCAGCACACACUCAGCAAUCAUUCAAAAUUCUCUCACAACAGAGCUGUGGCUUGGUCAAUCAUAGAGCUUCACUACUAUCGUACUAAAAGGUAGCAAUGCUCACUACAGUGAGACUGUGGAGGUAAAUGCAUUUGCAUCCCCUCCCUUCAUGCAGGAUCAAUGAUGUCCUUCGCUCUCUGUCUUGGCCUUGGCCUUUGCUGCAGUUUUCUGCAUAUGUGAAGUGAACAGGUCAUGCAACAAGAAUGAAUCUGAAUCACACACGAUCUCAGCAAUGAAGGGGACGUCGUACUUGCUAGAUCCAAGAUAAGUAAUGAACGAUGAGACAAGGCCUUGCACAGUAUUGAACAAUCUGCAAAGUCAGCUCACCUGCAGGCUCGAGAGCUUCCAGCUUCCAUAAAUGACGCCAACCCCCAAAGCAGACACUCGCAGCACCUGAUAUCCAAGGGACACUUUGUGAACACAGCAGCAGGGAAUAUUGUCCAAGAUCAGGCAACCCUAAGAGUAGCAAAAAGAAGUCCCCCCAGUUGAUCGUCACUCACCGAUGCGAGCGCGCUCUUGCCGGAGUAAGGAUUCACCAUAGUGUAUGUGAGCAAUACGUCAGUGGUGUGAGCAGUACUAUCACACUAAAACAAGGCGAUAUGUGUGUCUAACUAUCUUGAUCUUCCCAUUCCCUGCACCCACCUCGACCGGACAAUUCAAAAAAAAGAGGAAGGAGCAGGCUCACUCUGGAAUCAGCUUAGAUUGAGAGACGUGUGUCGUCUUGUGCAAUUUCUGGCACAUGGCACUUCUGGUCGGCUAUGUUAUGACGAGAUCAUCAGUCAU
rnacentral:lncRNA from 1 species